UUACGGCCACAUCAUGUUGAAACACUGUUUCCCGUAUGAUCACCAAAGUUAAGCAAUGUUGAGCUGGGUCAGUAACUAGAUGGGUGAGCACUUGGGAAUACCAGGUGCUGUAAG